rnacentral:lncRNA from 1 species
GGUCUAGGCGGAGGUGGAGGUCAAGUCAAAGGUGGAGGUCGAUGGUGGUGAGGGAUGGCAGGGCGAUGUUUGACCAGGUCGAGAAGGAAGCGGGCGACGCCCACGUCGAGAUCGGAGGAAGAGGGCGGCGGCGGCAGAGGCGAAGAGGUAAAGGAAGCGGGCGACGCCCACGUCGAGAUCGGAGGAAGAGGGCGGCGGCGGCAGAGGCGAAGAGGUAAAGGAAGCGGGCGACGCCCACGUCGGGAUCGGAGAAAGAGAUCGGCGCGAAGUCGAGGGAAUGCGGGAUGGGAGAAGAGAGAGGGUGAGAGCAAAAUUAUAUGUCAAAAUAUUUACGAGUUAUUAUAUAUAUAACUUGAAAUAAUUUUAAAAAUAAAUGAGAUUUAAAAAAUAUAAAUAAUAGAAUUAAUGUUACAGUUACUAAAUAAGAUGUAGUUUUAGAAAGAAAGGUGAUCGAUCAUUAAAUAGUAACAAAUAAUAAGUUGAUUUGUAAAAUAUAAUGAGAAAAAAUAUGGUAAUAUGAGAAAGCUCUUUUUAGUAAGAAAUGACAACAACUAUAUAUGGAGCCUAUUUUGAAAAUAAG